rnacentral:rRNA from 1 species
CCUACGGGAGGCAGCAGUGAGGAAUAUUGGUCAAUGGCCGGAAGGCUGAACCAGCCAUGCCGCGUGAAGGUCAGUGCCCUAUGGGCGUUAAACUUCUUUUGUGCGGGAGCAAUAAUGGUCACGUGUGGCCAGACGAGAGUACCGUACGAAUAAGCAUCGGCUAACUCCGUGCCAGCAGCCGCGGUGAUACGGGGGAUGCAAGCGUUAUCCGGAUUUAUUGGGUUUAAAGGGUGCGUAGGCUGUGAGGUAAGUCAGCGGUGAAAUGCCCCCGCUCAACGGGGUGAAGUGCCAUUGAUACUGGCUGGCUGGAAUGCGGAUGCCGUGGGAGGAAUGUGUGGUGUAGCGGUGAAAUGCAUAGAUAUCACACAGAACACCGAUUGCGAAGGCAUCUCACGAAUCCGCGAUUGACGCUGAUGCACGAAAGCGUGGGUAUCAAACAGGAUUAGAUACCCCUGUAGUC